AUGUAACAUUUGAGUUCCUGGCAGCUUAGCUGUCUAUUUACAUUAAAUGCAUGCCUUUGAUAUGAAUGGUUUAUUACUUUAAGUUAACUGUCUAUUAUGCAGUUCUCUAGAGGAUUCUGUGGAGUAGAGGUGUCUGGAUUUAGCGAGGUCUGGGUGUUUCUUGAAUACUUUUUGUGGAGGGUGUGAGGGAGGGCGCAGGAGAGGACCGGACCGCAGAUUGCUUCAUCGGGGCGCAGGCUGAACGGGCAGCGUCAGAUGGUGGGAGUCAUGUCUACAAGUGCUGAAAGAGCCGUGGUGCAGAGCCGCUAAGUGCCGUGCAUCUGCAGACAAACGUCUGGCCAACUUCACCCAAGCUCCCUGAACCGCCACCGAGCUUGUUAAACCAUGGCGUAGUGGAGCUGACCCAGUCCGCCGCGGAGCCGGAGGUAGCUGCGCGGAGCGGAACCGCGGACACCCGGGGUCCGGUG